CACGCCGUAAACGAUGCGAACUAGGUAUUGGGAUUUUCGACCGUCUUGAUACCGAAGCUAACGCGUUAAGUUCGCCGCCUGGGGAGUACGAGCGCAAGCUUAAAACUCAAAGGAAUUGGCGGGGGCUCGCACAAGCGGUGGAACAUGGGGUUUAAUUCGAUAGUAAGCGGAAAACCUCACCAAGGUUUGACAUCUACGGAAUCCUGCAGAAAUGCGGGAGUGCCCUUCGGGGAACCGUAAGACAGGUGC
rnacentral:rRNA from 1 species